rnacentral:rRNA from 1 species
GAUGAACGCUGGCGGCGUGCUUAACACAUGCAAGUCUAACGGUGAACGAGGGAGCUUGCUCCCUCCGGAUCAGUGGCGAACGGGUGAGUAACACGUGAGCAAUCUGCCCUGGACUCUGGGAUAAGCGUUGGAAACGACGUCUAAUACCGGAUACGAGACGCGAAGGCAUAUUCAGCGUCUGGAAAGAACUUCGGUCCAGGAUGAGCUCGCGGCCUAUCAGGUAUUUGGUGGGGUAACGGAUCACCAAGCCUACGACGGGUAGCCGGCCUGAGAGGGUGACCGGCCACACUGGGACUGAGACACGGCCCAGACUCCUACGGGAGGCAGCAGUGGGGAAUAUUGCACAAUGGGCGCAAGCCUGAUGCAGCAACGCCGCGUGAGGGACGACGGCCUUCGGGUUGUAAACCUCUUUUAGCAGAGAAGAAGCGAAAGUGACGGUACCUGCAGAAAAAGCACCGGCUAACUACGUGCCAGCCGCCGCGGUAACAC